rnacentral:rRNA from 1 species
UACGAAGGGGGCGAGCGUUGUUCGGAAUUACUGGGCGUAAAGGGCGCGCAGGCGGCUCAGACAGUCAGAUGUGAAAGCCCCGGGCUUAACCUGGGAACUGCAUUUGAUACUACUGAGCUUGAGUACGGGAGAGGAUAGUGGAAUUCCCAGUGCAGAGGUGAAAUUCGUAGAUAUUGGGAAGAACACCGGUGGCGAAGGCGGCUAUCUGGACCGUAACUGACGCUGAGGCGCGAAAGCGUGGGGAGCAAACAGG